AUCGCUUCUCGGCCUUUUGGCUAAGAUCAAGUGUAGUAUCUGUUCUUAUUAGUUUAAUUGACACGAUUACUCUUCAGCUUUUAAAUUUAACUGAAAAGUAAUCCCU
ensembl:snRNA U2 U2 spliceosomal RNA